CCUCUUCCUCUUGCUACGGUCAGACAGAGUGCAGCUUCAUCCGUCCACAGCUGCACGCCACACGUGUGUGUGUGUGUGUGUGUGUGUGUGAUGGUUGGGACCGCGCCGCUGGAUCGCCAUCACUGAGGGAAUCUUCCAGAAGGAGUGAAGAAGGGGGGCUGGGGGGGGGAGGCGGCGGCGGCGUGAAAAACCAAAACAAGAAACUGGAUUUGGAUUUCCUGAUCUUGCCCUCGGUCUGGGUGCGACAUGGACAGGACAUGGCGGCGGCGCCGGAUUAGCCGCUGAUGCCAUCGUCAGCUGGGAGGAGGAGCACCAAAUAGUUUAGAGUGGCCCAGGAGGAGAAGAUGCCGUGUGGAGUCAAGACGCUGUGGGCAGGAGGAGGAGGAGGAGGAGGAGGAGGAGGAGGAGGAGGAGGAGGAGGAGGAGGAGUGUUGCUCUGCUGCCUGCUGCUGCUGCUCUGGAGCAUCUACUCACAUCUUCUAGGAGAAGGCCAGCUGGCGGUGGGAACCUGCGAGAUUGUGACGCUCAACAGGGACAGCAGCCUUCCCAGGCGGACCGUCGCCAGGCAGACCGCCCGCUGCGUCUGCCGGAGAGGCCAGAUCGCCGGCACCACGCGAGCGAGGCCGGCUUGCGUCGACGCUCGAGCGGUGCGCAGCCGGCAGUGGUGCGAGAUGUCGCCCUGCAUGGAGGGCGAGGUCUGCAGCCUCCUCUUCAACCGCUUGGGGUGGUCCUGCACCCGGGCCAGCGGACGCAUCAAGACCGUCACGCCUCUCCCCAAGCAGCCAUCGUAGGACUCCUCCUAGACCCAGGAGUGAGUACUGACCCGUCUGCUCCACAAGGGCCAACACAAACUGCCAUGCCUUCCAGACAUACUCUAACUACCAGACUAUGAGCCGCUACUUUUUUCCAACGCUUUGAAGCCUGCGGCUUAUAAAACGGAUUCUUGCCAGCAGUGGAAUUGUGCUUGAAGAAAAAACAAACAGCUGGCCUUCACUCUCCAGUACUUUUUCCUCCGACUAGAAAGUGACAAGGCGUUUCCCGGAAGAUGUUGAGAAGAUUCUUCUUUGAAGGUGAUUUUGCAAACACUCGCUCAACACCUCUUUCUCUUUUUUGGAGCUCACCGGGCUGUGGACGAUGGACGCGGUGAGCCAGCGUGGACUCUCACUGACGUGGACAACGUGCUGACUCGGCAAAUGUGGACAAUUUGAAUGACUCAGCAAUUAAUGUGGGUGUUGUUGUUUUUUGUAAACGUACACGAUAAAAUACUCCUCUUUGUCUACGGACAUCAUCUCAGCAUCAGCAGUGUGUGUGUGUGUGUGUGUGUGUGUGUGUGUGUGUGUGUGUGUGUGGAGUCACCCAAGUGCACGCUCCCGGUCACGCCGCUGACUGUGCAUGACGGGCAAAGUGAAAAGGACGUGUCCAAAUGUUUUACUGACAAUGUGUCUUGUAUGACCAACAUGGCCGCAGGUCUGAUGUUGUUCCGUGACAUGUUGACCAAAAAACGCGCGUCACAACAUGAAAUCACUGCGGCAGAAGCAAGAGUCAAACUGCUUUGUGCAAACUUUGCCAACUGGCACCUUUAAACCAAAAUGCCAUAAAUCAGACGUGCACUAAAAAAAUGUAAAGUAUGCGGAGGCCAAUUUGAUAGUUUUCCUUUUCAAAACCAAUAUCGAUUGUUUCUAUCCUUUAGGGCAGUGUUUUUCACCUAGUGUGCCGCGGGAUACAGUCUGGUGUGCCGUGGGAGAUUAUCUAAUUUCACAUAUUUGGGUUAAAAAUAUUUUUUGCAAACCAGUAAUUAUAGUCUGCAAAUGAUGUGUUGUUGUUGAGUGUCGGUGCUGUCUAGAGCUCGGCAGAGUAACCGUGUAAUACUCUUCCAUAUCAGUAGGUGGCAGCCGGUAGCUAAUUGCUUUGUAGAUGUCAGAAACAGCGGGAGGCAGUGUUCAGGUAAAAAAGGUGUCUAAUGCUUAAACCAAAAAUAAACAAAAGGUGAGUGCCCCUAAGAAAAGGCAUUGAAGCUUAGGGAAGGCUAUGCAGAACAAAACUAAAACUGAACUGGCAACAAAGUAAACAAAAACAGAAUGCUGGACGACAGCAAAGACUUACUGUGGAGCAAAGACAAUGUACAUCAGAACACGGCAUGACAAUCAACAAUGUCCCCACAAAGAAGGAUAAAAACAACUGAAAUAUUCUUCAUUGCUAAAACAAAGUAGAUGCGGGAAAUAUCGCUCAAAGCAAGACAUGAAACUGCUACAGGAAAAUACCAAAAAAAGAAAAAAAGCCACCAAAUUAGGAGUGCAAGACAAGAACUAAAACAAUACACACAGGAAAACAGCAAAAAACUCCAAAUAAGUCACGGCGUGAUAUGACAGGUGGUGACAGUACACCUACUUUGAGACAAGAGCUAUUGUCAGGCUUGUCCCUGACAGUUUGACUGUGUUUUAGUUUUUUCUCUGAGUUUGUCUUAGUUUUCUGUCCAGCACUUUUAUUUUGUCUUUAUUUCCUACUUGUCUCCCUGAGUGCUGUGUCCCCUCAGCUGUGGCUGAUUGGCACCUGGCCACACCUGGUGUCAAUCAGCCAGCUGCUAUUUAUACCUGCCCUACCCUCCAGUCACUGCUGGAUCAUUGUCAUCACUACCUGAUUGUCAUUGCCGAUGUCAUUGUAGUGUCUACCUGUCCUUGUCGCUGUCGUCAUAGCGGUAAGCUGUUCCUUAUAGCUAUUUACGGUUGGUUUCUCCUAGCUUCUUGUUUUCCUGUUAGCCAGAUCCUGUUAGCCGUUUGCUAUUUCCAGUUUUUCUGUUUUCUGGUUCCUGUUUCCAUUUUGCCUGUUCCUAGUUUGUGUGUUUACUUUAUUUCGAACAUUAAAUCAUGUUUUCCCGUAUAACGCCUUCCGCCUUCUCUGCAUCUUGGGGUUCGCGUCCUACAAACUCUGACAUAAUGAUCCAGCCAAAUUCGAAUCUCUCAGAGAUGUCCAUGGCGGAGAGGCUUAACAAAGCUUUGGACUUAAUGGCUAAUCUGAAGAAAAGUUCGGCCGCUUUUCAAGCCCUCUCCCUUCCACCCCUGUCGUCUGUGGUCCUAUCUGGGGACGUCUGGGAU